UACAGAGGUCUCAAGCGUUGUUCGGAUUCAUUGGGCGUAAAGGGUGCGUAGGUGGCGCCGUAAGUCGGGUGUGAAAUUUCGGAGCUUAACUCCGAAACUGCAUUCGAUACUGCGGUGCUUGAGGACUGGAGAGGAGACUGGAAUUCAUGGUGUAGCAGUGAAAUGCGUAGAGAUCAUGAGGAAGACCAGUGGCGAAGGCGGGUCUCUGGACAGUUCCUGACACUGAGGCGCGAAGGCGUGGGGAGCGAACGGG
rnacentral:rRNA from 1 species